rnacentral:rRNA from 1 species
UUAGCUGUAUCCCGAGUAGCAUGGGACACGUGAAACCCCGUGUGAAUCUGCGAGGACCACCUCGUAAGGCUAAAUAUUCCUGAAUGACCGAUAGCGAAUUAGUACCGUGAGGGAAAGGUGAAAAGAACCCCGGAAGGGGAGUGAAAUAGAACAUGAAAGCUUAAGCUUACAAGCAGUGGAAGAACGACUAAACGUUUGACCUCGUUCCUGUUGAAGAAUGAGCCGGCGACUUGUAGGCAGUGGCAGGUUAAGGUAGGAAAUACUGGAGCCAGAGUGAAAGCGAGCCUUAAUAGGGCGACAGUCACUGUUUACAGACCCGAACCCGGAUGAUCUAACCAUGGCCAGUGUGAAGCUUAGGUAACACUAAGUGGAGGCGCGAACCGACUGAUGUUGAAAAAUCAGCGGAUGAGUUGUGGUUAGGGGUGAAAUGCCAAUCGAAUCCGGAGCUAGCUGGUUCUCCCCGAAAUGCGUUUAGGCGCAGCGGUUAACGCUAUAGCUUAGGGGUAAAGCACUGUUUCGGUGCGGGCUGCUAACGCGGUACCAAAUCGAUGCAAACUCUGAAUACUAAGUGUGUAGUUAACCAGUAAGACUGUGGGGGAUAAGCUCCAUUGUCAAGAGGGAAACAGCCCAGACCACCAGCUAAGGCCCCCAAAUAAUUGCUAAGUGAUAAAGGAUGUGGGAAUGCUGAGACAAUCAGGAGGUUCGCCUAGAAGCAGCUAUCCUUUAAAGAGUGCGUAAUAGCUCACUGAUCAAGCGCACCUGCGCCGAAAAUGAACGGGACUAAGUAAUUUGCCGAAGCUGUGGGAUUUUUAAUAAUCGGUAGGGGAGCGUUCUACCUUAGAUAGAAGCAUUAGCGGAAGCGGAUGUGGACGAAGUAGAAGUGAGAAUGUCGGCUUGAGUAGCGAAAACAUUGGUGAGAAUCCAAUGCCCCGAAAACCUAAGGUUUCCUCCGGAAGGCUCGUCCGCGGAGGGUGAGUCAGGACCUAAGGUGAGGCCGAAAGGCGUAGCCGAUGGACAACGGGUUAAUAUUCCCGUACCAUCUAUUAUUGAUACCGAGGGACGGAGAAGGCUAAACCAUCCGGAUGUUGGUUACCGGUUUAAGCGUUCAAGGUGUAGAGAGACGGAGAAAACGUCUUGAGCUAAAGCGCGAAUACGAAGUACUAAGGUACUGAAGUGGUUGAUGUCAUACUUCCAAGAAAAGCUCGAAAUAUCUUAAAUAAUAGAUGCCUGUACCCGAAACCGACACAGGUAGGUAGGUAGAGUAUACCAAGGGGCGCGAGAUAACUCUCUCUAAGGAACUCGGCAAAAUUACCUCGUAACUUCGGAAGAAGAGGUACCCUUGCAAAAGGGUUGCAAUAAAUAGGCCCUGGCGACUGUUUACCAAAAACACAGGUCUCCGCUAAUUCGUAAGAUUAAGUAUGGGGGCUGACGCCUGCCCAGUGCCGGAAGGUUAAGGAAGUUGGUUAGUCUUUGACGAAGCUGGCGACCGAAGCCCCGGUGAACGGCGGCCGUAACUAUAACGGUCCUAAGGUAGCGAAAUUCCUUGUCGGGUAAGUUCCGACCCGCACGAAAGGCGUAACGAUCAGGGUGCUGUCUCGGAGAGAGGCUCGGCGAAAUAGACAUGUCUGUGAAGAUGCGGACUACCUGCACCUGGACAGAAAGACCCUAUGAAGCUUUACUGUAUCUUGGAAUUGGGUUUGGGCUUUGCUUGCGCAGGAUAGGUGGGAGGCUUUGAAGAUAUUCUUGCGGGAAUGUUGGAGCCACUGGUGAGAUACCACUCUAGUAAGGCUAAAAUUCUAACUUCGAACCGUUAUCCGGUCGAGGAACAGUUUCAGGUGGGCAGUUUGACUGGGGCGGUCGCCUCCCAAAAGGUAACGGAGGCGUGCAAAGGUUCCCUCAGGCUGGUCGGACAUCAGUCGUAGAGUGUAAAGGCAUAAGGGAGCUUGACUGCGAGACCUACAAGUCGAGCAGAGACGAAAGUCGGCCUUAGUGAUCCGACGGUUCCGAGUGGAAGGGCCGUCGCUCAACGGAUAAAA